rnacentral:rRNA from 1 species
AACGAACGCUGGCGGCAGGCUUAACACAUGCAAGUCGAACGAGUGUAGCAAUACACUAGUGGCGCACGGGUGCGUAACGCGUGGGAACCUUCCUCGUAGUUCGGAAUAACUCAGGGAAACUUGGGCUAAUACCGAAUGCCUCCUUCGGGAGAAAGAUUUAUCGCUACGAGAUGGGGCCCGCGUCAGAUUAGGUAGUUGGUAGGGUAAUGGCCUACCAAGCCGACGAUCUGUAGCUGGUCGAGAGGAUGAUCAGCCACACUGGGACUGAGACACGGGCCCAGACUCCUACGGGAGGCGGCAGUGGGGAAUAUUGGGACAAUGGGGGCAACCCUGAUCCAGCAUGCCGCGUGAGUGAAGAAGGCCUUCGGUUGU